rnacentral:rRNA from 1 species
GUAACGGCCCACCAAGGCGACGAUCGGUAGCCGGACUGAGAGGUUGAACGGCCACAUUGGGACUGAGACACGGCCCAGACUCCUACGGGAGGCAGCAGUGGGGGAUAUUGCACAAUGGGGGAAACCCUGAUGCAGCAACGCCGCGUGAACGAAGAAGGCCUUCGGGUUGUAAAGUUCUGUUCUUAGUGAAGAAGCAUGACGGUAGCUAAGGAGAAAGCUCCGGCUAACUAC